AUGGCAAUGCAAUUGGUGGCAACAGCUUCGACAAUAAUGCGAACAGCUUUGCAGCUGAUCCAGGAAGUGUGGACAGUUUUAAUGGCAAUGCAAUUGGUGGAAACAGCUUUGACAACAAUGCUGUAAGUACAAGGAGUCUGUCCAUGGUUAAAUCUUGUUUGACCACCAGUUUGAGUGACCCUAUGUCUAUUUCUUUGUCAGCUGCCCUUAUGCAUUCUUAUCCCAUUUUAUAGGUGAGUCCAGGGGAAAUUCAUCCCUGGGCCCUCUGUAUUUACAAACUCCUUCUCUAUGGUUUCAAACCAAAAAAAUAAUGACUGAUCAAUUCCAGCUUGCCUUCUGCAUCUGCUCAUGAAUUAUAUAUAUCAUUUCCCCCCUUGUUGAGUUAAACCACAAAAGUUCUUUGGGUGGAAGUUUUGUAUUUUAUA
rnacentral:lncRNA from 1 species